rnacentral:tRNA from 1 species
ACUUAAGUAGUUUAAGUUAAAAUGUUGGUUUGUGGCGCCAUUGAUGUAGUAUUUACCUUAGGUU